GAUGAACGCUGGCGGCGUGCCUAAUACAUGCAAGUCGAGCGAACGGACGAGAAGCUUGCUUCUCUGAUGUUAGCGGCGGACGGGUGAGUAACACGUGGAUAACCUACCUAUAAGACUGGGAUAACUUCGGGAAACCGGAGCUAAUACCGGAUAAUAUUUUGAACCGCAUGGUUCAAAAGUGAAAGACGGUCUUGCUGUCACUUAUAGAUGGAUCCGCGCUGCAUUAGCUAGUUGGUAAGGUAACGGCUUACCAAGGCAACGAUGCAUAGCCGACCUGAGAGGGUGAUCGGCCACACUGGAACUGAGACACGGUCCAGACUCCUACGGGAGGCAGCAGUAGGGAAUCUUCCGCAAUGGGCGAAAGCCUGACGGAGCAACGCCGCGUGAGUGAUGAAGGUCUUCGGAUCGUAAAACUCUGUUAUUAGGGAAGAACAUAUGUGUAAGUAACUGUGCACAUCUUGACGGUACCUAAUCAGAAAGCCACGGCUAACUACGUGCCAGCAGCCGCGGUAAUACGUAGGUGGCAAGCGUUAUCCGGAAUUAUUGGGCGUAAAGCGCACGUAGGCGGUUUUUUAAGUCUGAUGUGAAAGCCCACGGCUCAACCGUGGAGGGUCAUUGGAAACUGGAAAACUUGAGUGCAGAAGAGGAAAGUGGAAUUCCAUGUGUAGCGGUGAAAUGCGCAGAGAUAUGGAGGAACACCAGUGGCGAAGGCGACUUUCCGGUCUGUAACUGACGCUGAUGUGCGAAAGCGUGGGGAUCAAACAGG
rnacentral:rRNA from 1 species